rnacentral:rRNA from 1 species
AUUGAACGCUGGCGACAUGCCUUACACAUGCAAGUCGAACGGCAGCACGGGUGCUUGCCUCUGGUGGCGAUUGGCGAACGGGUGAGUAAUACAUCGGGACAAGUCCUCUAUAGGGGGGUAGCCCCGCGAAAGCCGGAUUAAUACCGCCUACGAACUUCUGAUGCAAGCGGGUUACCUUCUGGCCUCCGGCCUUGCGGUUGCCCGUUGACGGAUUCGCUCUUUAUUAGCUAGUUGGUAUGGUAAAGGCCUACCAAGGCGACGAUGAGUAGCUGAUCUGAGAGGACGACCAGCCACACUGGGACUGAGACACGGCCCAGACUCCUACGGGAGGCAGCAGUGGGGAAUUUUGGACAAUGGGCGAAAGCCUGAUCGAGCAAUGCCGCGUGUGUGAAGAAGGCCUUCUGGUUGUAAAGCACUGUUGUCCGGAGAGAACACCUUGGCCCUAAUACGGUCGGGGGAUGACGGUACCGGAAGAAUAAGCACCGGCUAACUACGUG